UACGUAGGUGGCAAGCGUUGUCCGGAUUUACUGGGCGUAAAGAGCGCGCAGGCGGUCGUUCAAGUCGCGUGUGAAAGCCCCCGGCUCAACUGGGGAGGGUCACGCGAUACUGAUCGACUCGAAGACAGGAGAGGGAAGUGGAAUUCCCGGUGUAGUGGUGAAACGCGUAGAUAUCGGGAGGAACACCAGUGGCGAAGGCGACUUCCUGGCCUGUUCUUGACGCUGAGGCGCGAAAGCUAGGGGAGCAAACGGG
rnacentral:rRNA from 1 species